rnacentral:ncRNA from 1 species
GUUUAAGUAUAUGCCAUAUUAAGGUGAAACCACGAAUGGCUCAUUAAUUCAGUUAUGGCUUCUUGAGCUGUAUCUUACUACUUCGAUAACUGGGGCAAUUCUAGAACUAAUACAUGUAGCAGAGCUGCGUUCCUGUGGGGACGGGCGCUUUUAUUAGACCAAAAUCAAUCGGACUUCAUGUCCGUAUUAUGUGGUGACUAUUUAACUUUGGGCUGAUCGCACGGCUCGUCCCAACGAUGUAUCUUUCGAGUGUCUGCCUUAUCAACUGUCGAUGCUAGGUUACGAACCUGCUAUGGUCGUAACGGGAAACCUUGUUAAACCACAUCUGGAC